rnacentral:rRNA from 1 species
GCAGUCGACGACCCUUCGGGGUUAGUGGCGCACGGGUGCGUAACGCGCGGUAAUCUGCCCUUGGCUUCGGAAUAACAGGUUAGAAAUGACUGCUAAUACCGGAUGAUGUCUUCGGACCACAGAUUUAUCGGCCAGGGAUGAGCCCGCGUAUGAUUAGGUAGUUGGUGGGAUAAAGGACUACCAAGCCGACGAUCCUUAGCUGGUCUGAGAGGAUGAUCUGCCACUCUGGUACUGAGACACGGCCCACACUCGCUACGGGAGGCAGCAGUGGGAGAAUAUUGGACAAUGGGCGCAAGCCUGAUCCAGCAAUGCCGCGUGAGUGAUGAAGGCCUUAGGGUCGUAAAGCUCUUUUACCCGGGAUGAUAAUGACGGUACCGGGAGAAUAAGCUCCGGCUAACUCCGUGCCAGCAGCCGCGGUAAUACGGAGGGAGCUAGCGUUGUUCGGAAUUACUGGGCGUAAAGCGCGCGUACGCAGUUAUUCAAGUCAGAGGUGAAAGCCCGGGGCUCAACCCCGGAACUGCCUUUGAAACUAGAUGACUAGAAUCUUGGAGAGGUCAGUGGAAUUCCGAGUGUAGAGGUGAAAUUCGUAGAUAUUCGGAAGAACACCAGUGGCGAAGGCGACUGACUGGACAAGUAUUGA